rnacentral:rRNA from 1 species
GAGUUUGAUCUUGGCUCAGAUUGAACGCUGGCGGCAUGCCUUACACAUGCAAGUCGAACGGCAGCACGGGAGCUUGCUCCUGGUGGCGAGUGGCGAACGGGUGAGUAAUGCAUCGGAACGUAUCCUGGAGUGGGGGAUAACGUAGCGAAAGUUACGCUAAUACCGCAUAUUCUGUGAGCAGGAAAGCGGGGGACCUUCGGGCCUCGCGCUCUUGGAGCGGCCGAUGUCGGAUUAGCUAGUUGGUGAGGUAAAGGCUCACCAAGGCGACGAUCCGUAGCAGGUCUGAGAGGAUGAUCUGCCACACUGGAACUGAGACACGGUCCAGACUCCGUACGGGA